GUUGCGGUCCACACUUCUUUCCGGUUGGUGGCAGUAAUGCUUCCUUCAGCUGUUUGCUGACCGCCAAUAUAACUUAAGACGUCAGAGCUCCUUAUGAAAAAUGAAAAGCAGAAAGCGCAACAGUGAAGCGAAGAAGAAAAACAAGAAAGCUCUGGAAACAUACGCAGCUAGACGUGCGAAACCUAGCAACUUUUUCGCAAAAACGAGCUCGCGGUUGGAAGCGUCAAUGAAGACGAUGAGACGGCUCCCAGGACCAGCCUGAGACUGAAUAGGGCCCCGCCCCAGGCAGAAUCUGAUGUGGGAGCCGACUUGCAGACGGCUGAAGCCCAGCGAUACACAGCGGGAGGUGUUAAUGAUGUGAGGGCUCAGUGUUCUCUGCUGGGAGUGAUCUGUUGUGUGUCAGCUUCUGUCUGUCACCACACAAAUGGGAGAAAAGAAAAAAAAAAACAUCCUUAUUGUUUCCAUAUGUGUGUUUUUCACUUUCUUGUCGUUUUGUUUGUAUUUAUAGGAUCGUCUCAAUAAAUUAGAAUAUCUUGGAAAAUGUAUUUAUGUCAGUAAUUGAAUACAUAUUAAAAUGCAUCUCUAAUUGUUA